rnacentral:rRNA from 1 species
UGGGGAAUAUUGGACAAUGGGCGCAAGCCUGAUCCAGCAAUGCCGCGUGUGUGAAGAAGGCCUUCGGGUUGUAAAGCACUUUUAUCAGGAGCGAAACGCUGUCGGCUAAUACCCGGCGGAACUGACGGUACCUGAGGAAUAAGCACCGGCUAACUUCGUGCCAGCAGCCGCGGUAAUACGAAGGGUGCAAGCGUUAAUCGGAAUUACUGGGCGUAAGGCGUGCGUAGGCGGUUUCUUAAGUCUGCUGUGAAAUCCCCGGGCUCAACCUGGGAAUGGCAGUGGAUACUGGGAGGCUAGAGUGUGUCAGAGGGUGGUGGAAUUCCCGGUGUAGCGGUGAAAUGCGUAGAGAUCGGGAGGAACAUCAGUGGCGAAGGCGGCCACCUGGGACAACACUGACGCUGAGGCACGAAAGCGUGGGGAGCAAACAGGAUUAGAUACCCUGGUAGUCCACGCCCUAAAACGAUGCGAACUGGAUGUUGGUCUCAACUCGGAGAUCAGUGUCGAAGCUAACGCGUUAAGUUCGCCGCCUGGGGAGUACGGUCGCAAGACUGAAACUCAAAGGAAUUGACGGGGUCAUAGCUGUUUCC